GACUUGCCUGGGUUGGGCUGUGUUUGCAAUAUGUUGGCUUGCCCAUUCCAAGUUGAGAGUUCAGUCUGGGGACUUCAGUGAAAACUAAGGUCUCUUGGCUCUUAGAGUGGAGGGCGUAGCGUGAGGCUGGUUUCACAGAGCAGCGAUCACCUCCCACUCCCAACAGUGGAGGGAUCACAGGCCUAUGCAGUCAUAGUUCAGAAAGGCCUGGUGAGUC
rnacentral:SRP_RNA from 1 species